AGUGAACGCUGGCGGUAGGCCUAACACAUGCAAGUCGAACGGCAGCACAGUAAGAGCUUGCUCUUACGGGUGGCGAGUGGCGGACGGGUGAGGAAUACAUCGGAAUCUACUUUUUCGUGGGGGAUAACGUAGGGAAACUUAUGCUAAUACCGCAUAUGACCUACGGGUGAAAGCAGGGGUUCUUCGGACCUUGUGCGAUUGAAUGAGCCGAUGUCGGAUUAGCUAGUUGGCGGGGUAAAGGCCCACCAAGGCGACGAUCCGUAGCUGGUCUGAGAGGAUGAUCAGCCACACUGGAACUGAGACACGGUCCAGACUCCUACGGGAGGCAGCAGUGGGGAAUAUUGGACAAUGGGCGCAAGCCUGAUCCAGCCAUACCGCGUGGGUGAAGAAGGCCUUCGGGUUGUAAAGCCCUUUUGUUGGGAAAGAAAAACAGCAGGUUAAUACCCCGCUGUUCUGACGGUACCCAAAGAAUAAGCACCGGCUAACUUCGUG
rnacentral:rRNA from 1 species